rnacentral:rRNA from 1 species
GACGAACGCUGGCGGCGUGCCUAAUACAUGCAAGUCGAGCGGACCUGACAAAAGCUUGCUUUUUGAAGGUUAGCGGCGGACGGGUGAGUAACACGUGGGCAACCUGCCUGUAAGACUGGGAUAACUUCGGGAAACCGGAGCUAAUACCGGAUAAUAUAAAGAACCUCCUGGUUCUUUAUUGAAAGAUGGUUUCGGCUAUCACUUACAGACGGGCCCGCGGCGCAUUAGCUAGUUGGUGAGGUAACGGCUCACCAAGGCGACGAUGCGUAGCCGACCUGAGAGGGUGAUCGGCCACACUGGGACUGAGACACGGCCCAGACUCCUACGGGAGGCAGCAGUAGGGAAUCUUCCACAAUGGACGAAAGUCUGAUGGAGCAACGCCGCGUGAGCGAAGAAGGCCUUCGGGUCGUAAAGCUCUGUUGUUAGGGAAGAACAAGUGCGAGAGUAACUGCUCGCACCUUGACGGUACCUAACCAGAAAGCCACGGCCAACUACGUGCCAGCAGCCGCGGUAACAC